rnacentral:lncRNA from 1 species
AAAAAUCAAAACAAAUUGUGCCAAACUCACAGCAAAAUAAAAACUAUUGACAUUUAAUACUAGUCGAAACCUUCUUGGACCAAAAUCACAAUUUGCAACUAACUAUAGAGACCAUUCUUGAAGUUUUGUCCACUAUCAAUUAGUUGGAGAAAAGAAACAAAUUUGUGUUAUACAAUUAAUAUUCAACCUUCAUUAUACACAAAUUGAUUAAUAAUGUCAGACAAUAAAAUCUCAUUGAAUUCGUUUUCAACUUACACAUACAAUAAAAUUAAGAAGAAAAUGGUACAUUUUAUAAUCAAUAACAAUACAUUUGGUCACCAACUAGCCACAAAGGAUCCGAUCGCCUUCCUUGAAAAUGUCAAUUCCUCGUCCACAUUUCACAGGUGUCAAGUGCAUGUUAGCUUAAGUCAUAAACAGCUAAUUAACAACUUCUUUUUUACAACAAAACUAUUGUGAAAGUACCAUGGUAAGCCACUAGAACGUUUUUUAUUCACAAAAUACCAUUAAAAUAAUAUAUAUUUAAUUAACAAAACAUUCAAGUUGCUCACCUUAUAAUAGUACUUUUUAAAAACAAUGGUGUCCAGUAGAAAUAAAACAAAUAGUUAACAAAACAAAAGCAGAAUAAUUUGGUUUAGGGUGUAAAGCAUGUUGUGCUUACCAAUAUAUGUUGUUACUUUUUAACUUAAUUAACUUAAUGAGGACCCAACUUAAUCCAAUAAGCUAUACAUAGAUUCCUUGUGACUUAAUGGACAUAAUAUGAACAACACUUAAUCUUAUAGGGGCUAUAUACGGGAUGUUUCUUUAUAGCUUAAUGUCUUAAUGAAAAAUUAACUUCUUAAUAAAGAAACCCAAGGAGAAAAAGACUAAAUUGCCCUUAAUUUUGCUUUCCAUCUCCCCAAGUGUUGUUUAUAUAAAUCAUUUAUCCAAACAACACUUAAUGAAAAAAAGGCAAGGCCUAGGGUUGGAGAUGUCUUCCAUGAUGAUGAUGAUGAUGAUGAUGAUAGUAUGUGUUAUGUAUGUAUGCCCUACAAAGUGUGUCCUUAAAACAUACAUCAUAUCUAAGAACGAUAAUCUCUUACAAAAAAGUACACACAUAAAUUCUGCCUUUUGUCUAUCUAUUAACUAAAUGCAAAUCCAACUCUGGUUCUCUAAUGCUGAUCUUCUAGUGUCUUGUUGCUGUAAAGGGUAUUAAUGUCUAUUCAACUCUGUGAACCAAAAGUUGAGUGAUAUGAUAUGAUAUCCAGGUGAAACAUCAUAUCUAAGAACGAUAAUCUCUUACAAAAAAGUACACACAUAAAUUCUGCCUUUUGUCUAUCUAUUAACUAAAUGCAAAUCCAACUCUGGUUCUCUAAUGCUGAUCUUCUAGUGUCUUGUUGCUGUAAAGGGUAUUAAUGUCUAUUCAACUCUGUGAACCAAAAGUUGAGUGAUAUGAUAUGAUAUCCAGGUGAAGCUAAAGAUAUGGUGGUGUCUACCUGCCACCAUAAGGGUGNNNNN